UUUUCACCAAAGAUGUUUCCCUCUGCCUCGUGUUGACCAUGUCAAACUCAUGAUGGUGCCCUUCUCAAAAUGGUGUUUGACUGACUGGUCCGAAAAGGUAGUCUCACUUGGCCAGACUUACACACAGGCAUCGGAUGGGAACGAGACUUCCAGAAGGGUAACAAAGAGAGUACCCAGCUAGAGGACCCCCGGGCGGAGUGGAGGAAGGAGCAGGAGAGGAUGUUGAAGGAGUACCUGACAGUAGCCCAGGAUGCACUGGUCACCCAGAAAGAGCUGUACCAGGGCAUUGCUAUUCCACCCAAAACUACGAUGGCAGUCAGUCACCAUCCCUGAAGUAUCCAUCAGCGGAGGCUGGCGAGGGGAGGACAGCUCAUAAUAAUGGCUAGAUUGAGCCAUGCUCUUCUCAGCAGCAUCCACUGGUAUCCAUUUAUCAAAUGUGACAGAAGAUAUGGAAGGAAAGUAGAAGCUUGAUUCCUGCCUCGGUCAGCA